CCCCCCUCACUAUGAUGCAUACAUAUUUUGUUUCAAGCAGUGUUUGAAGAGCCCAGUAGAGCCUGGGGAUGGCUGGGGGUGAACUAAGCCUGGAUGGCAGACAGCACCUGUGAGCCAACCUCAAACCUGAGGUGUAAAUCGGUGUAUG